AGCGGGUUAGAGAAGCUCGGCCAUCUCGCAAGGCUCAUAACCUUGAGACCGCGCGUUCGAAUCGCGCACCCGCUA
rnacentral:tRNA from 1 species